rnacentral:rRNA from 1 species
GAUGAACGCUGGCGGCGUGCCUAAUACAUGCAAGUCGAGCGAACGGACGAGAAGCUUGCUUCUCUGAUGUUAGCGGCGGACGGGUGAGUAACACGUGGAUAACCUACCUAUAAGACUGGUAUAACUUCGGGAAACCGGCGCUAAUACCGUAUAAUAUUUUGAACCGCAUGGUUCAAAAGUGAAAGACGGUCUUGCUGUCACUUAUAGAUGGAUCCGCGCUGCAUUAGCUGGUUGGUAAGGUAACGGCUUACCAAGGCAACGAUGCAUAGCCGACCUGAGAGGGUGAUCGGCCACACUGGAACUGAGACACGGUCCAGACUCCUACGGGAGGCAGCAGUAGGGAAUCUUCCGCAAUGGGCGAAAGCCUGACGGAGCAACGCCGCGUGAGUGAUGAAGGUCUUCGGAUCGUAAAACUCUGUUAUUAGGGAAGAACAUAUGUGUAAGUAACUGUGCACAUCUUGACGGUACCUAAUCAGAAAGCCACGGCUAACUACGUG